CUACUACUGAUUUGGGGAUAUUUUGUGCACAAUUGAUUUGUUAAUAUUCUGCAUAUUUUCUGCACGAUGGCUUUGUACAUUAUUGCUGUGUUGAUGAAUUAAGAUGGUGAUACAGAUUGAGUUGAUGAUGGAGGCCGUGUUUUCUAUGAUGAGGAAGUUUGAUGUUGAAUGGGUUUGUUUUGUGUAAUUGAAAUUGCAAGGAAUUGGAGAGUUGUUGAAGAUUUCCUCUAUGCACAAUAGCACCACCAGAUCGUGCAAAUCAAUUGUUUGACAAAUUGCUUGAAUGAAUAUGUUGUCCCUGUUGCUGCACCAGAGGGGAUACUGCGAGCUGGUUAUGAUGGGUUUACUUGGAGUUUCAAAGGGUUUGCAAAGGAGUUUAAUUAGAAAACAAGGAGGGUUUUUGUUGAUUGUAUUCAAAGUAGUGGAUAUCGAGAAGGCAGACUGAAAUGGAUGGGAUAUGGAGAAGCCAGGAAGGUAGAUCUAUGCUACUGGUGCAGCUGUCUUCCCCCAAAUUUGGACUUGAUAAAUGAUUUUGGAGGAGUUAUAAAUUGGAGGAUGUUUUAAAUUGGUCAAAUUUAACAGAGUAGGUUGAGGAUGACUACAAUUUGUGGCAGUAAGAGUCCAUCAUCGUGCUCAAGAAUAGGUGUAACAUGAAGGUUUUGGAAGUGAUAAAUGAUUUUGGAGGAGUUAUAAAUUGGAGGAUGUUUGAAAUUGGUCAAAUUUAACAGAGUAGGUUGAGGAUGACUACAAUUUGUGGCAGUAAGAGUCCAUCAUCGUGCUCAGGAAUAGGUGUAACAUGAAGGCUUUGGAAGUGAAUGAUAAGCAGGUGAGAGCACAGUUGCAAUUUCAGAAGAUCCAUUUUGUUGGCCUUCCAAUCGGAUAGGAAUAUCAUCAUCCUCAAGAAACUAAUCGGCAACUCUUAUUGUCCAUUUGCAGUUCUUAUUGGUUUCCUUAUUUAAUUAAUUAGGCGUACAAAAACCUUAUACAGGAUAGUUAUUAUCAACUAAAAUGCUUGCCUACAAAUAUUAUUAUACAGCUUAUACGUGUGCAAUGAUUAUUAUUUUUCUUAACAAACUUAUCAUUGCCUUUGGUACGAUUUUUACAUUUAGGUUCUGCAUAGGUGGCAUGUCCUUGGAAGUUAAAUCCCCUCACAAGAGAUCGAUAUACCGGAGACUGGUAAUGGAAAUGAUAUUGGUAUAUGAAGUACCAGAAUCAAUAGAGAAUUAGGGAGAUGAUAUCAUGGAGUGGAACUACUCCUAAUGAAGGAUCAUAUCAAAUAUGUUUUCCACUACAGCUAUGUCUACGAAGAGUUUUGUAUGGGAUGGUUCAUAUGAGAAAACUUUACACGCAUAUUUAAGAUGUCGAAUUUAGGUUGUUGAUGUUGUUAUGAGUUCUAUGUCAUCUUCAAGUUACUGACUCUGGUUGCUUAAUAUUAGAUGGCAGCAUGACUCUCUCUAUGACCAGUGAUCUUAAUGAAACUUUUUGCAUUCUGGAGGUACCACCUAUGCAAAGGAAGAAGGCAGAUGUCAGGAAAAGGGAAAGGGAAUAGCAGCACACCAUUACAGAUGUCAUUGAAAUGUGCAUGAACUGUGACCUUGCGAGGGAAUUAAACAACAGGCUUGUGUAAAAGUUGGUAGACACCAUUUCAGUUGAGACCAUUUUUCUCAUGGCCGCUUAAACAACAGGCUUGCUGGCCAUCUUCCUCAUUGAGUUUGCAGAGAUAUAUCUCAAGAUCUUCAGAGGGAUGCAAAAUCUGGAGAACAAAAGGAAAAGACAUACUGUGGAAAUAAACGUAUUAAGAUUGAACCAUUAAUUAAGAACCACAGGUUCACGGCAAAUUUGGAGCAAGGAUUGUACCAUCAUCAAGCUUAUAAAGAUUUUUCUGUAAUUUAUUGUAUUUGUGAGAAAUAAUGUGAGGCCUACUUAAUCAACUAAUAGCAACUCCAAAGUUGCAUUCAUGUAAAACCAUCACUUGCCAUGAGGAUAAC